rnacentral:lncRNA from 1 species
AAGUUGCUAACACCUGGCAGAGAGAGGACUGCAUAUGAGCAGGUGUUGAUUUCUGACAUAGAGACACAAAGCUUCCUUCCCUCCCCAUCUGCACCAGGUUUGUGGUUCCUGGGAGCCCUUCCCAGGGGCCCUGUCCAGCAGCUUUGGCAUGGAGGGCACCUUGUGCCUGAGUAGCAGCUGGCAAUGCCAGAGACAUCCAGUCCUGCUGAAUCCUUUCAUUAAGGCCAUGAACAGUCAGAAGGAAGGCACCCUUGAGCCUUCCCCCUUGCCCAGGGAAGAGGUGAAGGAUAACCAGACUGGCAGAGAAUGUUGGGCAUCUGGGUCUAGGUGCCUUUGUUUGUGCGUGGUCAUAUGUCCGUCCAGACCGCCCCUAGGGAAGAAGAGGACAAGGGCAGCAGAAGGCAUCUCUUCUCCAUUGACAGCAGAGGUGGGUGCAGGCCUCUGUGUCUGGACGGGUUCUGGAUAGCAAGGGGAGGCCACUGGGGAUUCUUGCCCCUUGCUGGGGCUGCCCACCUGCCAGAAGGGGCAAAAAGAGGGAAGCACACGGUGGCCAUGGUGGUGUCCUUUUGCCUUACCGCUGACCAAGUGAAAUGUCCUAGGCUUCACAGGCCUGCAGCUCUGAGCUAACUGCACAAGUGUGACACUCAUGGUGCUGGAAAACCUGCACCUGGCAAUGGGGAACGUGGAGCACAGCAAAGACUGACUGGAUUCCUUUCUGACUGCUUUAGCCACUAGUCCAUCUCUCUCUUGAGAGCCUUGCUGGGGCAGAGGUGAGCCCCAAGGAGUAGCAGGGGGAGAGCUUUGCUCCACCCUCUGUGCUGAGGUUUAGAGGCUGCUUUGAGCUGGCAGAGGGGGAAGUGAACUUGCAAACUUGAGCUCCCUCUUUCCAGGCACUACGUGGGCACCCUGUGAAGGUGAGAGCGUGACAUGGUCCUGCUUUUCCUGGCAGCCUUGAUGGCACUGUCAGACUUUGGUGAGAUGUGACAUUCAGGAGGGCAAGAUAGGGGCAAGAUGGCAUCCCAUCAUUUCUGGAGGGGAGAAAUUGGACUCCUUUUCUCCCUGGAAGAAGUGGAAGUGUUUUCUGUAGGGAGAGCAGGGGCUGCAGAUGGGAGCAACGCAUGUAGAGGGAUGAAUAAGCUUCUGCAUUUUUCUUUGCAGAUGCCUAGCAUUCUUACAUGCAUUGUUCAUAGGUAUGGAUGGUGAAAGAGAGGUUCUUGGUAGGGAACAGAUCAGAAUGGUAGAUAGGAGCUUGUGCCCUCCUAAGAUGUCCUUGACAAAAUAAUGUCAGCAUAUGUGGAGUUGGAUGUAAUCCUCUGUAGACUUGGAAAGAAGGCUAAAACCAUACAAGACCUGAGAUGCUGCACGAGGAAAAAGCAAGAACAUACCACAUCAGGAGAAGUUACGGAGUAAACAUUGUAGUAAGAAAUGAUGAAGUGA